rnacentral:tRNA from 1 species
GCCCCUGUAGCUCAGAAGGAUAGAGCGACUGCCUCCUAAGCCGUAGGCCGCGCGUUCGAAUCGCGCCAGGGGCA